rnacentral:rRNA from 1 species
CAGUCGCCGCGGUAAUACGAAGGGGGCUAGCGUUGCUCGGAAUCACUGGGCGUAAAGGGUGCGUAGGCGGGUUUCUAAGUCAGGGGUGAAAUCCUGGAGCUCAACUCCAGAACUGCCCUUGAUACUGGAAGUCUUGAGUAUGGGAGAGGUGAGUGGAACUGCGAGUGUAGAGGUGAAAUUCGUAGAUAUUCGCAAGAACACCAGUGGCGAAGGCGGCUCACUGGCCCAUAACUGACGCUGAGGCACGAAAGCGUGGGGAGCAAACAGGAUUAGAUACCCCCGUAGUCCCUGUCUCUUAUAC